AAGUCUUAACGGAGAAAGCUUUAUGCGCCGAAGGAUGAGCCUGCACUUGAUUAGUUUGUUGGUAGGGUAAUGGCCUACCAAGACUUUGAUCUAUAGCUGAUCUGAGAGGAUGAUCAGCCACAUUGGGACUGAGACACGGCCCAAACUCCUACGGGAGGCAGCAGUAGGGAAUAUUGCACAAUGGAGGAAACUCUGAUGCAGCGAUGCCGCGUGAGUGAAGAAGGCCUUUGGGUUGUAAAGCUCUUUCGUCGGGGAAGAAAAUGACUGUACCCGAAUAAGAAGGUCCGGCUAACUUCGUGCCAGCAGCCGCGGUAAUACGAAGGGACCUAGCGUAGUUCGGAAUUACUGGGCUUAAAGAGUUCGUAGGUGGUUAAAAAAGUUGGUGGUGAAAUCCCAGAGCUUAACUCUGGAACUGCCAUCAAAACUUUUUAGCUAGAGUAUGAUAGAGGAAAGCAGAAUUUCUAGUGUAGAGGUGAAAUUCGUAGAUAUUAGAAAGAAUACCAAUUGCGAAGGCAGCUUUCUGGAUCAUUACUGACGCUGAGGAACGAAAGCAUGGGUAGCGAAGAGGAUUAGAUACCCCUCGUAGUCCAUGCCGUAACGAUGUGUGUUAGACGUUGGGAAAUUUAUUUU
rnacentral:rRNA from 1 species